CCUACGGGAGGCAGCAGUAGGGAAUAUUGCUCAAUGGGGGAAACCCUGAAGCAGCAACGCCGCGUGGAGGAUGAAGGUUUUCGGAUUGUAAACCUCUGUCAGCAGGGAAGAACGGUCACUGUGCUAAUCAGCAGUGAAUUGACGGUACCUGCAAAGGAAGCACCGGCUAACUCCGUGCCAGCAGCCGCGUUAAUACGGAGGGUGCGAGCGUUCAUCGGAAUUACUGGGCGUAAAGCGCUCGUAGGCGGUAUGUCAAGUCAAGGGUGAAAGCCCCGCGCUCAACGUGGGAACUGCCUUUGAAACUGGCAAACUGGAGUGUGUGAGAGGAUAGUGGAAUUCCAGGUGUAGGAGUGAAAUCCGUAGAUAUCUGGAGGAACAUCAGUGGCGAAGGCGACUAUCUGGCACAUAACUGACGCUGAGGAGCGAAAGCGUGGGUAGCAAACAGGAUUAGAUACCCUUGUAGUC
rnacentral:rRNA from 1 species